rnacentral:tRNA from 3 species
GGCCAGGUAGCUCAGUUGGUAGAGCAGUGGACUGAAAAUCCUCGUGUCGGCAGUUCGAUUCUGUCCCUGGCCACCA